rnacentral:rRNA from 1 species
GGGGGUUCCGGCCCGGGGGCUGCGGCCGCCGGGUCUGAAAGUGAGCUACCUGGUUGAUUCUGCCAGUAGUCAUAUGCUUGUCUCAAAGAUAAAGCC